rnacentral:tRNA from 1 species
GGAGAAGUGGCUCAGUGGUUAAGAACACUGAUUGAUCUUCCAGAGGUCCUGAGUUCAAUUCCCAGCUACCACA